rnacentral:rRNA from 1 species
GAUGAACGCUGGCGGCGUGCUUAACACAUGCAAGUCGAACGAUGAAGCCCAGCUUGCUGGGUGGAUUAGUGGCGAAAGGGUGAGUAACACGUGAGUAACCUGCCCUUAACUCUGGGAUAAGCCUGGGAAACUGGGUCUAAUACAGGAUAGGAGCGUCCACCGCAUGGUGGGUGUUGGAAAGAUUUAUCGGUUUUGGAUGGACUCGCGGCCUAUCAGCUUGUUGGUGGGGUAGUGGCUCACCAAGGCGCCGACGGGUAGCCGGCCUGAGAGGGUGACCGGCCACACUGGGACUGAGACACGGCCCAGACUCCUACGGGAGGCAGCAGUGGGGAAUAUUGCACAAUGGGCGCAAGCCUGAUGCAGCGACGCCGCGUGAGGGAUGACGGCCUUCGGGUUGUAAACCGCUUUCAGUAGGGAAGAAGCGAAAGUGACGGUACCUGCAGAAGAAGCACCGGCUAACUACGUG